rnacentral:piRNA from 1 species
AAGCACUUUAUGGACUGACAGUCUCUCAGGUC